rnacentral:lncRNA from 1 species
CUCUCCUGAUCCAGAUAAAGGUAGAUCAAAGAUUUAUGGUCCUAUUAAGGAACUGCUUUCAGAAGAAAACCCACCUAUCUACAAAGACGUUACUAUAAAAGAAUAUUUAGAACAUUUUUUUGCAAAAGGUCUUGAUGGAAAUUCUGCUUUGGAGCCUUUCAAGUUGUGAAUUCGACAUGUGAACGUACUUUUGAUUCUCGUGUAGCUAGCCAUAAUCUAUCUAAAUAACAAGUCAUGUUUUCUGCAAUUAGCGUGCUCUAUAUGUAUCAAGUUUCAGAGACUGCAAUAAAUGUAUUAUCUAUACUCUAUGGAUCACACACUAUCAUCUUUGUACAAAUUCAGAUUAAAUUGUGUAGCUUUAGAUUAUUGAUUUGCUUAGAGUUGAGAAAAAUUGCUUCAUCAACAAGCUUAGUUCAUACUUUCUUUGAGAGAGUAUGAUAGCUGUCCAUCAAAUUAAUCUUAACAACAUUAAAUUUUUAACCUUUAACAGUUAUACUAGUGCUGUGAAAUAGACUGUUAUUUGUUGGUGAAGUUGUUCUGUUGAUGAUUUGAUUGGAAAUUUUCGCUGCUACAUUUUUUGGAGAAUAUGCAUAUACGAAUUCACACAAUUGACAUGAUCACUUAAAAAGAGUGUAACCAAGUGGUUAAUGAGCUCCUCCUACGACUAAGUGUUCAGAAGAAUCCGAGUUCAAUGAAAGGUACAAUUUUUUAUCAAAUUUUAUUUACCUCGCGGCCGAACUUUCCUGAAAAUUGGAGGGGUAACAUAAAAAUAAAUAAAUAGAGAGGGUAGAUAUGCAAAUUAACUAAUAAAGUACCCAUGGAAUAUGGUGCACAGUGGACAGAGCCUACUUUGUGGUCGUCCUUUUUUUUUGUUGUUAUUUCCACAUUCAAAGUCAUCUAACUUUUGAUUCAUCUAACUUUUGAUUUGGUAAAAAGGGAGAAAAAAAUCAUAUAUAAAAAAAUUGACUAGUUGGUCAAAGUCAGGCCGACCCACACCCAUGCGACGGGUGUGCGGCAGCAUCAGAAUUCAAAAUUUUGAGAUCCUAUAAUAAUAGUUAUAUAUUUUUAAUGUUCGAAAAUAUUAGAUAUGCAUCAAUAGAUUAGUUGUGUGUUAUAAUAUUAAGAUAUGCAAAAACAGUAACACAUUUUUCUUUGGAUAAGUCUUCUCUGCAACUUGGAUAAGUCUUCUCUGCCAAUCCUAUUUUAAUUUUAUCUGCUUUAAUUCUACAUUUUGUUGGAGUCUGAAAGUACUACAAUUGUGGUGUUGCUUCCACCUCUCAAUAUGGUGGUAAAAAACACAAACCAAUUAGAGGAAGCAACUGAUUCAACUUAUGAUAGAGAAGCUGAAGUGAAAGCUUUUGAUGAUUCANNNNNNNNNNNNNNNNNNNNNNNNNNNNNNNNNNNNNNNNNNNGAUAUACAUAACAAUCCAGCUCUUUGUGUAGAGGUAAUUGAUAAAAUUCGAAGUGCAUGCCAUGAGUGGGGAUUUUUUCAGGUGGUUAAUCAUGGAAUUCCUGUUACUGUUUUGGAUGAAAUGAUUGAUGGGAUUCGUAGGUUUCAUGAACAAGAUGUUGAUGUAAGAAAAGAGUUUUAUACGCGUGAUUUAAAGAAAAAGGUUACAUAUUUCUCCACUGGAACGUUGUAUAGUGGCCAAGCUGCUAAUUGGAGAGAUACCGUUACUUUUGCUGUUGCUCCUGAUCCAUUCGAGCCAAAUGAAGUACCACCAAUAUGCAGGUAAUGAUUCUAACCCUGCAAUUCAUAAUCAAGUUAUCUAUAUUUCACAAUUGUUACAUUACAUAACAUAUGGUCAUGAUAUUAGUUCAUUUCAGUUAUAGAUUCUGUCCGACUGAUUUAUUUUCACCGCUGAUGAAUUGAUUACAUGAAGAGAUAUCAUGAUUCAAUAUUCGCAGAAAAUAAGGGAUUUGGGUUUUACAAUCUUUGAAUUAUUGUCAUGGGCACUAGGACUUGAUUCUUCUUAUCUCAAAGAGUUGAAUUGUGCCGAAGGACUCUCUAUUAUGGGUCACUACUAUCCACCAUGCCCUGAACCUGAAUUAACUAUCGGCACUACUAAGCAUAGUGAUUAUAGCUUCAUGACAUUACUUCUACAAGACCAACUUGGCGGUCUUCAAGUUCUUCAUGACGAUAAAUGGGUUAACGUUCCUCCGGUGCAUGGAGCUCUUGUUUUAAACAUAGGAGAUCUUCUUCAGGUAAGAUAUUACUAGCAUUUUAUCUGCGUUAUGCCACAUGAUUUCUCCUUCAUUAAAAGUGUGCGAGUUUCAUUAAAAGAAUCAGCAAUUUCUUCAUUAAAAGUUUCUGAGAAUAGUUUUAUCAAUUUCUUUUGUAUUGGUGCAGCUUAUCACAAAUGACAGGUUUGUAAGUGUUAAUCACCGAGUCUUAUCACAGAACAUAGGCCCCAGAGUUUCUGUAGCAAGCUUCUUUAUGAACUCUCGUGAUCCAGAUAAAUGUAGAUCAAAGAUUUAUGGUCCUAUUAAGGAACUACUUUCAGAAGAAAACCCACCAAUCUACAAAGACAUUACUCUAAAAGAAUAUUUAGAACAUUAUUUUGCAAAAGGCCUUGAUGGAAAUUCUGCUUUGGAGCCCUUCAAGUUGUGAAUUCGACAUGUGUACGUUCUUUUGAUUCUCAUGGAGCUAGCCAUAAUCUAUCUAAAUAACAAGUCGCGUUUUCUGCAAUAUGUGUGAGCUUAUAUGUAUCAAGUUUCCAAG